UCUGAGAAAAGAGAAGGCUUGGGGGGAACCCAUCAACUUAUACAAAUACCUGAAACAAGAAUACAAUGAGGAUGGAGACAUCUUCCAAUGGUGCCCAGUGACAGAACAAGAGGCAACGGGCACAAACCGGAGCACAGGAGAUUCUUGCUGAAUAUGAAAGGGCACUUCUUUACUGUGAGGGUAACAGAGCACUGGAACAGGUUGCCCAGAGAGGCUGUGGAGUCUCCUUCAAAACCUGCCUAGAUGCGAUCCUGUGCAAUGUACUGUAGGUGCCCCUGCUUGGCAGUGGGGUUUGGACUAAAUGAUCUCCAGAGGUCCCUUCCAACCUCAACCAUUUUGUGACUCUGUGAUUCUGUGAUUCUCAGCAUGAA